rnacentral:rRNA from 1 species
UACAGAGGGUGCAAGCGUUAAUCGGAUUUACUGGGCGUAAAGCGAGUGUAGGUGGUUUGCUAAGUCAGAUGUGAAAUCCCAGGGCUCAACCCUGGAACUGCAUUUGAUACUGGCAGGCUAGAGUGUGGUAGAGGAUAGUGGAAUUCCCGGUGUAGCGGUGAAAUGCGUAGAUAUCGGGAGGAACAUCAGUGGCGAAGGCGGCUAUCUGGACUAACACUGACACUGAGACUCGAAAAGCGUGGGGAGCAAACAGG